ensembl:lncRNA
AUAUAUUAACCCUGUGCUACCGGUGGUUACAAAUGUCUUUCUUCCAUUUGCUCAACUUCCCAUGACUUUAUCUACACACUAUGAAUCAGCUAAAACUAAUGCAUUCUAAUACAACAGCCCUAUAACAAUUUCUCCCUCAUUCUCUUGUAUCUGUGUCGACAGCCCAAAUGGAAAUCGGCCAAUGGUACCCCUAGAGGGGAUUUACUUGCACGUUGAAAUUUACUAAUUGAUUGUGAUCUCUUCUCAGACUGCUGUGGCUGGUUCUACACCUGCAGAAUCAAGCUGGCCAAUGGAAAAACUAAAACUUCCAAAUUGCUUGCCAGAGUCACCAGAUAUAUCUACUGCAAGAUGAAGAGAACCUUUUAGUUGGUUCAAUAUGCGUUGGGCAAGAAACCUGGUGGAGACUGUGGUGCCAUGAGUGCAAACAAAAGAGGAGAGGGAGAAGAUGGGUGAGGCCUGGGCUCUUCGUCAAGGACGGUCCAGAGAAUACAACAGGCUCCUGCCUUGAGGAUCCCCAGAAGUGGUCGAGGAGUUUCAACCUCCUGUGACGGUGGAAAUUACCCGCAGUCUUUAGUGAUUUGA